CCUACGGGAGGCAGCAGUGGGGAAUAUUGGACAAUGGGGGAAACCCUGAUGCAGCGACGCCGCGUGAGUGAAGAAGUAUUUCGGUAUGUAAAGCUCUAUCAUCAGGGAAGAAAUAGCGACCUUUGGGUCGCCAGACGGUACCUGACUAAGAAGCCCCGGCUAACUACGGGCCAGCAGCCGCGGUAAUACGUGGGGGUCAAGCGUUAUCCGGAUUUACUGGGUGUAAAGUGGGCGUAGACGGCAGCACAAGUCUGAAGUGAAAUUCCGGGGAGUAACCCCGGAACUGCUUUGGAAACUGUGCAGCUAGAGGGCAGGAGAGGCAAGUGGAAUUGCGAGUGUAGCGGUGAAAUGCGUAGAUAUUAGUAGGAACACCAGUGGCGAAGGCGGCUUACUGGACUGUAACUGACGUUGAGGCUCGAAAGCGUGGGGAGCAAACAGGAUUAGAUACCCCAGUAGUC
rnacentral:rRNA from 1 species